rnacentral:rRNA from 1 species
GACGAACGCUGGCGGCGUGCUUAACACAUGCAAGUCGAACGGAAAGGCCCGGCUUUGGUGGGGUGCUCGAGUGGCGAACGGGUGAGUAACACGUGAGUAACCUGCCCUUGACUUUGGGAUAACUUCAGGAAACUGGGGCUAAUACCGGAUAGGAGCUCCUGCUGCAGGGGGGGGGUUGGAAAGUUUCGGCGGUUGGGGAUGGACUCGCGGCUUAUCAGCUUGUUGGUGGGGUAGUGGCUUACCAAGGCUUUGACGGGUAGCCGGCCUGAGAGGGUGACCGGCCACAUUGGGACUGAGAUACGGCCCAGACUCCUACGGGAGGCAGCAGUGGGGAAUAUUGCACAAUGGGCGGAAGCCUGAUGCAGCAACGCCGCGUGCGGGAUGACGGCCUUCGGGUUGUAAACCGCUUUCGCCUGUGACGAAGCGUGAGUGACGGUAAUGGGUAAAGAAGCACCGGCUAACUACGUG